AAAAAAUACUCUUUCAAAAUGCAGCUGUAUAUUUAGUUAUGGAUACAUAAUUAAUUACUAUGGGAAUAAAUAUCACUGAAUUACAGAAAUAUUGGAACAAAGUUGUCUAAUGAAGGUAAAGAAAUUGUUGCUUACUGGAAAAUACUAGUACAGUGCCAUUAUGGCUGUUAGCAGAACAAUAGACUUGGCUAUUAGCAGAACAAUAGACUUGUCUAUUAGCAGAACAAUAGACUUGUCUAUUAGCAGGGCUAUUAGCAGAACAAUAGACUUGUCUAUUAGCAGGGCUAUUAGCAGAACAAUAGACUUGUCUAUUAGCAGGGCUAUUAGCAGAACAAUAGACUUGUCUAUUAGCAGGGCUAUUAGCAGAACAAUAGACUUGUCUAUUAGCAGGACUAUUAGCAGAACAAUAGACUUGUCUAUUAGCAGAACAAUAGACUUGUCUAUUAGCAGGGCUAUUAGCAGAACAAUAGACUUGUCUAUUAUCAGAACAAUAUACGUGUCUAUUAGCAGAACAAUAGACUUGUCUAUUAGCAGGGCUAUUAGCAGAACAAUAGACUUGUCUAUUAGCAGGGCUAUUAGCAGAACAAUAGACAUGUCUAUUAGCAGAACAAUAGACUUGUCUAUUAGCAGGACUAUUAGCAGAACAAUAGACUUGUCUAUUAGCAGGACUAUUAGCAGAACAAUAUAAUUGUCUGUUAGCAUGGCUAUUAGCAGGGCUAUUGGCAGAACAAUAUAAUUGACUAUUAGCAGGGCUAUUAGCAGAACAAUAGACUUGUCUAUUAGCAGGGCUAUUAGCAGAACAAUAGACUUGUCUAUUAGCAGGGCUAUUAGCAGAACAAUAGACUUGUCUAUUAGCAGGACUAUUAGCAGAACAAUAGACUUGUCUAUUAGCAGGGCUGUUAGCAGACCAAUAUACUUGCCUGUUAAUAGGGCUAUUAGCAGAACAAUAUAAUUGUCUAUUAGCAGACCAAUAGACUUGCCUGUUAAUAGGGCUAUUAGCAGAAAAAUAUAAUUGUCUAUUAGCAGGGCUAUUGGCAGGACAAUAUCAAAUCAAAAUCAAAUUUAUUUGUCACAUACACAUGGUUAGCAGAUGUGCGAGUGUAGCGAAAUGCUUGUGCUUCUAGUUCCGACAAUGCAGUAAUAACCAACGUGUAAU
ensembl:lncRNA